AUUGAACGCUGGCGGUAUGCUUAACACAUGCAAGUCGAACGGUAACAGGCCUUCGGGCGCUGACGAGUGGCGGACGGGUGAGUAAUACAUCGGAACGUGCCCAAUCGUGGGGGAUAACGUAGCGAAAGUUACGCUAAUACCGCAUACGAUCUACGGAUGAAAGCGGGGGAUCGCAAGACCUCGCGCGAAUGGAGCGGCCGAUGUCAGAUUAGGUAGUUGGUGGGGUAAAGGCUCACCAAGCCGACGAUCUGUAGCUGGUCUGAGAGGACGACCAGCCACACUGGGACUGAGACACGGCCCAGACUCCUACGGGAGGCAGCAGUGGGGAAUUUUGGACAAUGGGCGCAAGCCUGAUCCAGCCAUUCCGCGUGCAGGAUGAAGGCCUU
rnacentral:rRNA from 1 species